UGGCGAACGGGUGAGUAAUACAUCGGAACGUGUCCGCUCGUGGGGGACAACCAGCCGAAAGGUUGGCUAAUACCGCAUGAGUUCUACGGAAGAAAGAGGGGGACCCGCAAGGGCCUCUCGCGAGCGGAGCGGCCGAUGACUGAUUAGCCGGUUGGUGAGGUAACGGCUCACCAAAGCAACGAUCAGUAGCUGGUCUGAGAGGACGACCAGCCACACUGGGACUGAGACACGGCCCAAACUCCUACGGGAGGCAGCAG
rnacentral:rRNA from 1 species